rnacentral:lncRNA from 1 species
UCUGUUUUAAAGAAUUACAUAUGCAAAACAAGCAUACCCCAUAACAAUGGUAUAAAAUAUGAGACAAAGUCUUCAAAUAGUCUGCUAAGUUCAUUUAAAAUACAAUAUAAGAGGCUAGAUGCAGAGAAGUUCUCACUUGUAGCUAAAACCAGUCAAACAGCACCUCCUAUAGUUUAACAGAUGUGAAGGGAAAUCCUUGAUCUUCCUGACCGCUUAACGCUACUGUGCGUUGUUGUACUUUUGACUGCUCUAAAUGUCCCACUAGUUCAUAUGUGUGUUCUCUUGGACACUGAAACUGUUGGUGGCUGGGAUCCAUGUACUUUAGUCCAAGUUCACCAAC